GUGGGGAAUAUUGGACAAUGGGCGAAAGCCUGAUCCAGCCAUGCCGCGUGUGUGAAGAAGGUCUUCGGAUUGUAAAGCACUUUAAGUUGGGAGGAAGGGCAGUAAGUUAAUACCUUGCUGUUUUGACGUUACCGACAGAAUAAGCACCGGCUAACUUCGUGCCAGCAGCCGCGGUAAUACGAAGGGUGCAAGCGUUAAUCGGAAUUACUGGGCGUAAAGCGCGCGUAGGUGGUUCAGCAAGUUGGAGGUGAAAUCCCCGGGCUCAACCUGGGAACUGCCUCCAAAACUGCAUGACUAGAGUACGGUAGAGGGUAGUGGAAUUUCCUGUGUAGCGGUGAAAUGCGUAGAUAUAGGAAGGAACACCAGUGGCGAAGGCGACUACCUGGACUGAUACUGACACUGAGGUGCGAAAGCGUGGGGAGCAAACAGGAUUAGAUACCCCAGUAGUCC
rnacentral:rRNA from 1 species